CAGUAGCCACGGUAAUACGGAGGGUGCAAGCGUUAAUCGGAAUUACUGGGCGUAAAGCGCACGCAGGCGGUCUGUCAAGUCGGAUGUGAAAUCCCCGGGCUCAACCUGGGAACUGCAUUCGAAACUGGCAGGCUAGAGUCUUGUAGAGGGGGGUAGAAUUCCAGGUGUAGCGGUGAAAUGCGUAGAGAUCUGGAGGAAUACCGGUGGCGAAGGCGGCCCCCUGGACAAAGACUGACGCUCAGGUGCGAAAGCGUGGGGAGCAAACAGGAUUAGAUACCCCUGUAGUCCCUGUCUCUUAUAU
rnacentral:rRNA from 1 species